UACGGGAGGCAGCAGUGGGGAAUAUUGCACAAUGGGCGCAAGCCUGAUGCAGCCAUGCCGCGUGUAUGAAGAAGGCCUUCGGGUUGUAAAGUACUUUCAGUCGUGAGGAAGGUGUUAAGGUUAAUAACCUUAGCAAUUGACGUUAGCGACAGAAGAAGCACCGGCUAACUCCGUGCCAGCAGCCGCGGUAAUACGGAGGGUGCGAGCGUUAAUCGGAAUUACUGGGCGUAAAGGGCACGCAGGCGGUUAAUUAAGUUGGAUGUGAAAUCCCCGGGCUUAACCUGGGAAUGGCAUUCAAGACUGGUUAGCUAGAGUCUUGUAGAGGGGGUAGAAUUCCAUGUGUAGCGGUGAAAUGCGUAGAGAUGUGGAGGAAUACCGGUGGGCGGAAGGCGGCCCCUGGGACAAAGGACUGACGCUCAUGUGCGAAAGCGUGGGGAGCAAACAGGGAUUAGAUACC
rnacentral:rRNA from 1 species